GACGAACGCUGGCGGCGUGCUUAACACAUGCAAGUCGAACGGUAAGGCCCUUCGGGGUACACGAGUGGCGAACGGGUGAGUAACACGUGGGUGAUCUACCCUGCACUUCGGGAUAAGCCUGGGAAACUGGGUCUAAUACCGGAUAGGACCACUGCCUGCAUGGGUGGUGGUGGAAAGCUUUUGCGGUGUGGGAUGGGCCCGCGGCCUAUCAGCUUGUUGGUGGGGUGAUGGCCUACCAAGGCGACGACGGGUAGCCGGCCUGAGAGGGUGACCGGCCACACUGGGACUGAGGUACGGCCCAGACUCCUACGGGAGGCAGCAGUGGGGAAUAUUGCACAAUGGGCGCAAGCCUGAUGCAGCGACGCCGCGUGAGGGAUGACGGCCUUCGGGUUGUAAACCUCUUUCAGCACCGACGAAGCGCAAGUGACGGUAGGUGCAGAAGAAGGACCGGCCAACUACGUGCCAGCAGCCGCGGUAACAC
rnacentral:rRNA from 1 species